UACAGAGGUCUCAAGCGUUGUUCGGAUUCAUUGGGCGUAAAGGGUGCGCAGGCGGCGCGGUAAGUCGGGUGUGAAAUCUCGGAGCUUAACUCCGAAACUGCAUUCGAUACUGCCGUGCUUGAGGACUGGAGAGGAGACUGGAAUUUACGGUGUAGCGGUGAAAUGCGUAGAUAUCUGGAGGAACACCGGUGGCGAAGGCGGCAUCCUGGACCGGCAUUGACGCUGAGGCGCGAAAGCCAGGGGAGCAAACGGG
rnacentral:rRNA from 1 species